ACCCAAAACUAGGCCCUCUCU
rnacentral:miRNA from 2 species